AGAGUUUGAUCAUGGCUCAGAACGAACGUUGGCGGCGUGGAUUAGGCAUGCAAGUCGGGGGAAUCCCAGCAAUGGGGGAACCGGCGUAAGGGGCAGUAGGGCGUGGGUACCCACCCCCGGGUCCGGGAUAGCCGUCCGAGAGGGCGGGUAAUACCGGAUGACCUGGGGACAGCAAAGGCUUGCCGCCCGGGGCGGGGCCCACGUGGUAUUAGCUGGUUGGUGGGGUAACGGCCCACCAAGGCGACGAUGCCUAGCGGGUGUGAGAGCACGACCCGCGCCACUGGCACUGAGACACUGGCCAGACACCUACGGGUGGCUGCAGUCGAGGAUCUUCGGCAAUGGGCGCAAGCCCGACCGAGCGACGCCGCGUGUGCGACGAAGGCCUUCGGGUUGUAAAGCACUGUCGAGGGGGAGAAAAGCCCGCAAGGGUUUGAUCUAUCCCUGGAGGAAGCUCGGGCUAAGUUCGUGCCAGCAGCCGCGGUAAUAC
rnacentral:rRNA from 1 species